rnacentral:rRNA from 1 species
ACAUGCAAGUCGAACGAAGAAGGUUACCUUUUUAGCUUCCGCAGGAUUUCUUUCCAUCUUAGUGGCGGACGGGUGAGUAACGUGUGGGCAACCUGCCCUGUACUGGGGAAUAAUCAUUGGAAACGAUGACUAAUACCGCAUGUGGCCCUCGGAAGGCAUCUUCUGAGGAAGAAAGGAUUUAUUCGGUACAGGAUGGGCCCGCAUCUGAUUAGCUAGUUGGCGAGACAACAGCCCACCAAGGCGACGAUCAGUAGCCGACCUGACAGGGUGAUCGGCCACAUUGGGACUGACACACGGCCCAAACUCCUACGGGAGGCAGCAGUGGGGAAUAUUGCACAAUGGGCGAAAGCCUGAUGCAGCAACGCCGCGUGAAGGAUGAAGGGUUUCUGCUCGUAAACUUCUAUCAAUAGGGAAGAAACAAAUGACGGUACCUAAAUAAGAAGCCCCGGCUAACUACGUGCCAGCAGCCGCGGUAAUACGUAGGGGGCAAGCGUUAUCCGGAAUUACUGGGUGUAAAGGGAGCGGAGGCGGCAUGGUAAGCCAGAUGUGAAAGCCUUGGGCUUAACCCGAGGAUUGCAUUUGGAACUAUCAAGCUAGAGUACAGGAGAGGAAAGCGGAAUUCCUAGUGUAGCGGUGAAAUGCGUAGAUAUUAGGAAGAACACCAGAGGCGAAGGCGGCUUUCUGGACUGAAACUGACGCUGAGGCUCCGAAGCGGGGGGAGCAAAACAAGAUUAAAUACCCUGGUAAUCCACCCCGUAAACGAUGAGUGCUAGGUGCCGGGGAGGAAUCCUCGGUCCGGCAGCUAACGCAAUAAGCACUCCACCUGGGGAGUACGACCGCAAGGUUGAAACUCAAAGGAAUUGACGGGGGCCCGCACAAGCGGUGGAGCAUGUGGUUUAAUUCGAAGCAACGCGAAGAACCUUACCAAGGCUUGACAUCCCGAUGACCGCUCUAGAGAUAGAGCUUCUCUUCGGAGCAUCGGUGACAGGUGGUGCAUGGUUGUCGUCAGCUCGUGUCGUGAGAUGUUGGGUUAAGUCCCGCAACGAGCGCAACCCUUAUCUUCAGUAGCCAUCAUUCAGUUGGGCACUCUGGAGAGACUGCCGUGGAUAACACGGAGGAAGGUGGGGAUGACGUCAAAUCAUCAUGCCCCUUAUGUCUUGGGCUACACACGUGCUACAAUGGCUGGCAACAAAGUGACACAAGACGGCGACGUUAAGCAAAUCACAAAAACCCAGUCCCAGUUCGGAUUGUAGUCUGCAACUCGACUACAUGAAGCUGGAAUCGCUAGUAAUCGCGAAUCAGCAUGUCGCGGUGAAUACGUUCCCGGGCCUUGUACACACCGCCCGUCACACCAUGGGAGUUGGAAGCACCCGAAGUCGGUGACCUAACCGAAAGGAAGGAGCCGCCGAAGGUGAAGCCAGUGACUGGGGUGAA